GACGAACGCUGGCGGCGCGCUUAACACAUGCAAGUCGAACGGAAAGGCCUGCUUUCCCUUGUGGAUUGCGGGUACUCGAGUGGCGAACGGGUGAGUAACACGUGAGUGAUCUGCCCCCAACUUGGGUAUAAGCCUGGGAAACUGGGUCUAAUUCCCAAUAGGACUGCAGGGUGGUGCCUGUGGUGGAAAACGAUUUUCUAGUGGUUGGGGAUGAGCUCGCGGCCUAUCAGCUUGUUGGUGGGGUAAUGGCCUACCAAGGCGGCGACGGGUAGCCGGCCUGAGAGGGUGGACGGCCACAUUGGGACUGAGAUACGGCCCAGACUCCUACGGGAGGCAGCAGUGGGGAAUAUUGCACAAUGGGCGGAAGCCUGAUGUAGCGACGCCGCGUGGGGGAUGACGGCCUUCGGGUUGUAAACUCCUUUCGACCGCGAGGAAGCCACCUGGUUGGAAGGGUGGUGACGGUAGUGGUAGAAGAAGCACCGGCUAACUACGUG
rnacentral:rRNA from 1 species